UCCUGGGACUGGGGCGGAGCCGCCUCCAGGUGCCGUCGCGGCUCCUCGCUGCUGAUCGCGGGCCAGGCCGAGCCGGGCUGGGCGGGCAGCGCCGCCCCCGCAGGACUACAGGGCUGCUGCGCCCGCGGAGCGGCAGGAUUUAACAGGAACAUAUGUAAAGAUCUCAAAGAAACAGAGAAAAAAACCCUAGUGCACGUAGCUACAGGAGGAUUUAACAAGCAGAUCUGGAUGGAGCUGUGCUGGUGCCCGAGAACCUUACUGUCAUCAGAGCACUUUUCUGCCUCUCAGGAGCACACUCUACUAAAUCAAGGUACUUCCAAAUGAAAACAACCAAAAACCCUGCUGAAGCCUGACCAUACACCCCCUCGUCACCUGCAAGAACCGAUAGGCCAGAGAUCCGGCUCUCCGGCUGCAGCACGCGCUGCCCACCGUUGUCCACAGAUGGCAGUAACGAUGGUGAUGAGACCUGCAGACCUCUUGCUACUUCCCGAAAGUUUCUUUGUUAGUGAAUAUUGACAUCACUUCAGCAAUUAUCUAAAUCCCUAUGUACAGAAAGUCAUCAGCAAAUUAAA